rnacentral:rRNA from 1 species
GAUGAACGCUGGCGGCGUGCUUAACACAUGCAAGUCGAACGGGAAUUAUUUUAUUGAAACUUCGGUCGAUUUAAUUUAAUUCUAGUGGCGGACGGGUGAGUAACGCGUGGGUAACCUGCCUUAUACAGGGGGAUAACAGUCAGAAAUGGCUACUAAUACCGCAUAAGCGCACAGAGCUGCAUGGCUCAGUGUGAAAAACUCCGGUGGUAUAAGAUGGACCCGCGUUGGAUUAGCUUGUUGGCAGGGUAACGGCCUACCAAGGCGACGAUCCAUAGCCGGCCUGAGAGGGUGAACGGCCACAUUGGGACUGAGACACGGCCCAGACUCCUACGGGAGGCAGCAGUGGGGAAUAUUGCACAAUGGGGGAAACCCUGAUGCAGCGACGCCGCGUGAAGGAAGAAGUAUCUCGGUAUGUAAACUUCUAUCAGCAGGGAAGAUAGUGACGGUACCUGACUAAGAAGCCCCGGCUAACUACGUG